UGUAAGCGUAUACCAAAGUCGUUGCAGUUAAAACGCUCGUAGUCGGAAUUUGGCAGUUCCGGAUGUGUGCACGUCGUGUGCGCACUUCGCGGGGAUUGCUUUUGUGGUCUUGCGUAGGAUGAGGCACUUUUAUUAGUGAACGUCCUCACGCAACCACUUUUUACUGUGAGAAAAUCAGAGUGCUCAAAGCAGGCAUUUGCCGUGAAUGUAUUAGCAUGGAAUAAUAGAAUAGGACUUGGUUCUAUUUUGUUGGUUUGUUGGGACUGAGUAAUGAUUAAGAGGGACAGUUGGGGGCAUUUGUAUUUCGGUGCUAGAGGUGAAAUACUUAGAUUACCGAAAGACAAACUGCUGCGAAAGCGUCUGCCAAGGAUGUUUUCAUUGA
rnacentral:rRNA from 1 species